GAUGAACGCUGGCGGCGUGCCUAAUACAUGCAAGCCGAGCGAACAGACGAGGAGCUUGCUCCUCUGACGUUAGCGGCGGACGGGUGAGUAACACGUGGAUAACCUACCUAUAAGACUGGGAUAACUUCGGGAAACCGGAGCUAAUACCGGAUAAUAUAUUGAACCGCAUGGUUCAAUAGUGAAAGACGGUUUUGCUGUCACUUAUAGAUGGAUCCGCGCCGCAUUAGCUAGUUGGUAAGGUAACGGCUUACCAAGGCAACGAUGCGUAGCCGACCUGAGAGGGUGAUCGGCCACACUGGAACUGAGACACGGUCCAGACUCCUGAGGGAGGCAGCAGUAGGGAAUCGUCCGCAAUGGGCGAAAGCCUGACGGAGCAACGCCGCGUGAGUGAUGAAGGUCUUCGGAUCGGAAAACUCUGUUAUUAGGGAAGAACAAAUGUGUAAGUAACUAUGCACGUCUUGACGGUACCUAAUCAGAAAGCCACGGCUAACUACGUG
rnacentral:rRNA from 1 species